rnacentral:rRNA from 1 species
AACGAACGCUGGCGGCAUGCCUAACACAUGCAAGUCGAACGAAGCCUUCGGGCUUAGUGGCGCACGGGUGCGUAACACGUGGGAAUCUGCCCUUCGGUUCGGAAUAACAGUUAGAAAUGACUGCUAAUACCGGAUGAUGACGUAAGUCCAAAGAUUUAUCGCCGAAGGAUGAGCCCGCGUAGGAUUAGGUAGUUGGUAGGGUAAUGGCCUACCAAGCCGACGAUCCUUAGCUGGUCUGAGAGGAUGAUCAGCCACACUGGGACUGAGACACGGCCCAGACUCCUACGGGAGGCAGCAGUGGGGAAUAUUGGACAAUGGGCGAAAGCCUGAUCCAGCAAUGCCGCGUGAGUGAUGAAGGCCUUAGGGUUGUAAAGCUCUUUUACCAGGGAUGAUAAUGACAGUACCUGAAGAAUAAGCUCCGGCUAACUCCGUG